rnacentral:lncRNA from 1 species
CAAUAUCCUCAUCUUCCUCUUUACUCUCUUCUUUGUUUUCCCCAUCCUCAAGCCCAUUAAAACUAGAUGUCGAAAACAAACUAUCACCACCCUUCUUACCUGUUUUCGAUGGCUUCUUCUUCCCAGAGAACUCAAUCAAAGGCUCCCCAUUAUCAGACUGUUGCCCAGAAACUAAAUCAUCAACACCUCCAUCAUCCUCAUCACCAAUUGCACCAAAAGGCGAUGUCGUAAAUGCACCACUGCCACCCUUCUUACCAGAUUUUGAUGGCUUUUCUUCCCAGAAAAUGCAAUCACUGUCUCAUCAUCCUUAUCAGACAGCUCUCCAGAAGCCGAACCUCCAACCGCUUCAUCAUCCUCAACUCCAAUAGCAUCAAAUGCUGCAGCACUGAACCCACUUUUACCACCACCCUUUUUUGACUUUGUUGGCUUUUUCUUACCAGUAAAGGCGAUCACAUUCUCCCCAUCAUCCUCACUACCCCGCUCUCACCAUCUCUACCCUGAGUUAAUUCCGAAACCUCAGUUUCACCAUCUUCAUCCCUAACAAUCCAAAGUUCCCAGAACUAAAGACACUGUUGCUCUUAUUGUUCCCACCCUUCUUCGCCUUCCCUUUCUUUUUGCCUGCAAACUGUAUAUCCAGUGCCUAUCAUGCUCUUUGUCAUCAAUUCUCUCCUCCAGCUGGUCAUCAUCAUCGUCAUCUUCUUUUAAUCCUCCUUUCUUUGCAUUCCCCUUCUUACCCUUCUUACCACCACCAACCGUAGCAGUCUUCUCUUCCUGAACAUUACUCUCCUCAGACAACUCUGUCCCAACUGAAUACUCAUCAUCAUCAAUCACUAAAUUCUUCUUCUUAGACUUGCCCCCACCAACGCCACCCUGCGUCGCCCCGGCCACCUCAUCAUCACGAGCACUCGGCUUCUUUCUACCCAUUGAGAGAUAUCGACGAAUACAAAUUCUCUACAAUAUUCUUAACUCUAAUCUAGAAACCUAACUUUAUCUUCAAAAACCCGGAGUCAGAAACCCUAAAAAGCACAAGAUUCAAUCAAAUUAGUCCAUGUUUACGAAAUUUAACAUAAAUACACAAGCUUAACUGAUAAAUUAUAAAUUUUCUACAUAAAAUGUUUCAAAUAACCAACAGUAGAUUAUCAUCAACGAUUUUCUGGCAGAAUCAUAUCAAAAUUAACCUAUAAGAAGUACCUGAACAAUCUAAUACUGAUUCAUAUCAAUCAGAAAUAUUCAGACUGAAAAAUACCUGGAAAAGUUGGCUCCGAUCAGAAUAUUAUCCGAAAGUAAAUACAGAGGCCGAUAAAAGUUAACGGGGGUUCUGUAUCUAAUAUGAUGAAAAGCAAAAUUUAGGGAAGAAGUUUUGGUUGAAAGAUUGAUUUUAGCUGAUGGAGAAAGUAGAAAAUACUAGUACUAUAUAGGCUGCUGGGGAAGAAGCAAGAAGGGAAAUGAGAGAGGCAAAACGAAUUCGUAAAGGGUGUUUUUGGGCCGUGAUGGUUAGGUCCAUUGGAGGAUUGAUGAGAGUCUACUCGGCUCUUAGGGUUGGGUUUUUGUGGAACCCAAAUGAGGAUUUCUCUCUCUCUCUCUCUCUCUCUCUCUCUCGCUCUCUCUUCUCUUUUUUUUCAUUUUGUUUUGUUAUUGUUUUUGGUACAAAACUAUAAUAACGUGAAAGUUGCUUUUUUAUUACCUAUAUAGUAAAAGAGCGAAUGGAAUUGCUAAGGGUUGUGAUUGUUGUGCUGACGUGGCUGGAUUUUAUUCGCUGGCUGGUGGUCGUCACUCACGUGGGAGUCGCGUGCUUUUGCUGGGAGGAGAAGUGCAAUCCUUCUUCUUUGCUGCCUGAGAGAAGAAAACUUGGACAUUUGGUUUUUGAGAAGGAACGUAUCUCUGUAUUGCCAGCUGAGUAAGCUUAUUAUGACGGUUGCUGAUAGUUUGAUUGAUGACAACUGUUGGGUGAUGGCUCAAUGUGGGUUGGUAUGAUUUGACGAUAUUGCCCUUAUUUUAAAAAAGACAGAUGCAUCGUUCUAUCUUGCUGAGCUCCUUCCUCUCUGCGAUUUGGUGUGAAGGAGCUUCAGCUCUGCUCUAGAGAGCUGCCGAAAAAACACUUUUUGUUCUCUCCUUUGAUUGACAAGACUGAAACCCCUUUGUUUCUCCGAUGUAUGCAGUUCAGCUCUGCUUUAGAGAGCUGCCGAAAAAACACUUUUUGCUCUCUCCUUUGAUUGACAAGACUGAAAGCCCUUUGUUUCUCCGAUGUAUCCAGAGGUUUCUAUGUUUCAGGUUUCGCUUCUCCCAGCUUUCGUCAUCAUGCUCCGCGGUAAUUGUGCCUCAUUUUCAUUGUUCUUUUCUGGCCCUCCAGCUGCUUGCUUCCUCAUUCUGAGCUGCUGCCUCGUUUCUUUUUUUCUGCUUUUUCUUUCCUUUGUAACAAUUGCUAUCUUGCUGCCUCCUUGCGUAAGCUUUAAUUCCGCUACUAUUGUUUGGAUUUAACUUCUCCUGCUGUGUUCCCGUUUCCUGUCGUGCUUAUUUUGGUUUUUCCUCACCUGCAAUUUAUGCCAUCCUGAACUGUUACUGUUGCGUUGCCUCUUUGCUUUGCUUUGGCGCUCGUUUUGCUUCUCAAGCGCCCUGCUUAAAUUUACCUUUCUGCCGCAGCCUUUCCCCCUGUGUUUUCCAUUAUCCUCCUGCCAGUGGUUCUUGCAUCAGCCUUUUUUUUUUUUAAACUUUUUGUUCUGCUACUGUUACUACGUGCAGGUUAUCUUGCCCCCCUUCUGUUUUGUGAUUUCCCCCUUUUCCCCUAGCAUUUCUUAUAUUUUUCCCCACUAUACUCUCUGGUGCUUGUUGUCCUGCAUUUACUCUUUGAGUUUUCCAUUCUUCCUCCUGUCGUCAUUUCUUGCGUCGCUGUAUUUUUUCCCCUUUUGUUUUGCUGCUGUUGCUACGUACAAGUUAUCUUGCCCCCCUUCUAUUUAGUGAUUUUCCCCUUUUCCCUUGAAUUUCUAAUAUUUUUACCCACUUUGUUCUCUAAUGCUUGUGUUGCAUUUACUUUUGAUAUUAUAUUUUCUUACCCUUUUUGCUCUCACUGGCUUAUUCAGGUGUUGUCCUCUUCUGUGUUGCUCUGCCGUUGGGUAAUAAAGGCUUGUUAUCUAACGUUAAGGUGCCAUUACUUAUUCUCCCUUCUGUAUGUGCUUUUACCUUGCUUGUACCCAAUGAUCAUUUUGCUACAUGCUUUUGUUACUCGUUUUUAGCUGUUGCCCGCCUUUACUCAGCCUUUUAACUCCUGUUUUCUUAUCUGUUCUGUUCUAUGCUGUUGUGUAAGCAGUUGUGCUUUACCUUUUCUUCACUCUGUUUCUUUUCUAAUAUAUUGGCUGAAUUCUAUGGUGUUGUGUAAGGGCUGUACUUUAGCUUUUCUUUACUCUGUUUGUUUUGAAUGUCUGCUCAGUUCCAUGCUGUUGUGUAAAGGCUGCGCUUGAGCUUUUCUUUCUCUAUUUUUGUUUGGGGGAACCGGCGUUUGGUGCAUGCCUCUCUUAUGCCGUUUCUUUGUGUUUCAAUCUGCUAGACCUUUGGCCUCCUUUGUGCUUAUUGAGUUAGUACUCUGGCCGUGUAUUAGAGGUGUACGUUAGCCUUUCUUUUCACCUGCUAGAAUCUAUAGCGGUCAGAUGGAUAGGAAUGCUUUGCGCCGCAAAAAAUAUACAGAAAUGCCACCUCUGAAGAAAGCGGAACUUCUGCGUUCCCGAAGGCAAACUCGAGCUUCAAAGAAAGCUGGAAAAGCUUUACCCCACGUGUUCGCAGGGUCCCGUUAGGAUAUGUGGAAACUAGUGUGUCGUUCCCAGCUACUCAACAUAUGCCAUGUCAUAGUGAGGAUCCUGCGUUUGUGCAUUCUCAGCCGUUGGAAAACACAAAUGCUGUGUUUCCAGCUGAUGAUGCCUUUGCGAUUAGGGAAGGAUUAGAAUUCAUGUCGCGUUGUCCACCUGGUUCCUUUACUGGUUAUGCUUCCUCCUCCUUUGGAAAAGAAAUGCCUCUACAAAAUACACUUGAUCCUGAAGCUAUACCAGCUUCGUUUAACGUGCAAUCCCUUCAGCCAUUUAACUCCUACUCUGUAGCGCCGUUUAGCACUAUUUGUCUUUCUUAGCUGUCGUUAUUUCCCUUGUAUCUCUCCAGUUACCACUCUCUUUCUUCUUAACUGCAGCAUCCCUGUUCUGUGAUAGCCUUGCACCAGUGAAAUAUCAGAGAUCAUCUGUUGGUGUAGAGGCAAAAAAAAAACCCCGUUCAUAGGGGAAAACAUAGGGGCGUAAACUCCCUUCCAAGUGGAAAUGAACAACCUGUGAACAAUACACAUUCUGAAUUUAUACUAUAUUCAUUUCCUUUCGAUUCAUCUCUUAAGAACCCUGAACUAUCAAUUCAAAAAGAAUUUGCUCCUGCAAGUAAUUCUUUGCCUGCUCAAAUUUCAGAUUCUACUUUAGAACUAGCUUCCAAAGGUACUGCCUUACUUUACCAUAUUCGUUAGCUUGCGAAUCUACUUAACCGCUUUGACCAGCCUAUAAAUAUAAAUAAUCACCUUUAUGGCCUGGUUUUCUGGAACCCUUCUUCCUUUGCUAACUGAUUCUCCUUUAAGGUCCUUAGGCCUGUUUUAGCUAGCUUAUUCUGUUCUGCAAUUUGCAGACAUCUUUCCUGCUCCCACAGAGGAGGUGGCCAGGUCUGGUCCAACACCUGGUUGGUUGGAGAUAAAAAACAGAAAAGUACUUCCUUCUGCCGGUCCAUCUAUUGUCCGUUCUCGCUCCAGAAAACGCAGGACCCUGAAUCUGUGAACAAACACAACUCAGGUUGGGACUUGCGGUGAAGAAUUUCCAGUGUAUCAAGUGGAACUGAAUGCAGGAUUCCAUGGGAUCAGAUUUUCAUGGAAAGGAGCAAAAAACUGUCUUUUGAUUUGAUGGCCAGAUAAUUGAUCCAGAAUAAGAUAAACAACAAAAAGCAAUAAGUCUUUGAAGGAUUUAGAUAUUUUUUAUAUGUAUCUCUACCCUGCAAAUUCAAGACUUGAAGCACAACAGUAUAAAAAUCAUUUGAACCAGACCAAUUCCUGUAACCACCAUGCCAACUUGAGCAAAUAAGUCUUAGAAAAAAGUUCUCAUUGGUUCUGUUCUAAUAAGAUGCAUUACCAAGUUUAUUUCACAUAAUAUCAAAAGGCUUUGCCAAGUGCAAGAAUCCUUUACAAACCAUUAACUUCUCAGUCACUGUCAGCCUUUUUAAAUCUAAACCAGUGCCAGAAUCUAGAAAAUCUAAAAAAUCAAUCAUCAACACCUUUUAAAGAUAGUCAAAGCGGUGAUAUUUAUAAUGUUUGACCAUGCAAGUUAGUAAUAAAGGAAGAGCACUUGGUUUCUGCUUUUGCCUUGCAUGGCUAGAUUUAGCUAACUGCAGGCAGUUACCAUCUUAAUCACCCUCUUCAACUUUCCUUCACAAACCUUCUACUGGAUUUUACUCUUUCCCCUUAAAAUUCUCUGACUAAAAAUUACAAAAAUCCAUUUACAUGAAGACAGGAGCUUUUUCAAUUUCAGUAUGCAGCAAACAAGUGCUUCCAUCUCAUGCUAUAGUGUGUCCCAAAAAAAGUCCUUAUCCAAAUGACCAUUACAAUUUAUGACCACCAUAUUAGUUUGCAGUUUGAUGGCCGUUGAUAGCAUAUAUGUACAAACUACUCAACUACUAAGUUAAUAUUACAAUCCAAAUUCAUCAAGGAAGCACAUGUUCAUCAGAAAACCAAUCUCAAAAUUAGAUAUUGGAAACCUAAAUCCAGGAUAUGUACCUUGAUGGCCACCUUUUGGCCUUUCUUGGCAUAGUCAACAGGUUUAUGGUUGUUCUCAAUGGACGCAAUUCGUCCAAUGUCGAUGAAGUCCUUCUGAGGAAUGCAAAUUGGGGUUCCGAUCUGCAUGCAUUGGAAACUGCCAUCAGAAACCCUCAAAAAGAGAAAAGAUAUAAGCAAGCAAGAAAUCAGAACACAGAAAUAUAAGAUAAUAAUGUCACGUCAAGAAUCAAUAUGCUAAUAAACGCUACAAGAUAACAUGCAUCUUGCAGGAGUGAGCUGAAAAUAGCAAAAUGAGGACAAUAAUGACAAAACCAAACUAUAAAAGCAAAUAACUCUUCAGGAAUAGGAAAAGAUGGUGAAGUCAUGUAUUAUGACAUUUUAACUUAUAAAAGGUACAGAGUGAAUGGUUGAAAGUGGUGCAAAAUCUGACUCUUAAGCAAUAUUCAAGAUGGAAAAGUAACAUAAAUUGACUAACAAAACUUUUAAGAUAUCAUCACAACAAGAAAGAAUCCUAACCAUUUCUUAGAAUCCAAAAUUUCUAGUUUCCUACUCCCUAAAAUCAGCAUCAUGAAAUUGACAACUAGAACAACAAUAAUAAAUCAAUCAACAUGUAACUAAUUUAAGCAAAUCUUUACUAUACUAUGCAAACCAAAAUUAACAAGAAUAAUCAACAAAAUGUCAAUUGAAUAAUUUCACAUCUCCGUUAUUAUUUGGAAUACCAUGUCCCACACUAGCUGUUGAAAAUUAUCUUAAGAAUCACAAAAUUAAUACAAUACCUUUGCAACACCUUCGAGAACAUCCACUCCCAAUACAAUGGGAUCUUUCUUGUUGAAAACACAGUUUGGUAUGAUCUUAAGAACACAGGGGAAUACAGCAUCAUCAGCAGCUUCCUUCUUCUUCUCCUCCUUGAGGUUGUCAAUAUAAGCCUUAAACUGAUCAAAUAGGUGAUAGAUGAUAUCUGCACAGAAUAUCUUGACACCAAGCUCAUCUGCAAGUUCUCGAGCCUCUGGAGUCACCCUAACAUCAAAGGCCAAGAUAGUGGCAUACUCUUUCUUCUUCUCGAGCAUCACGCUUGCCUUCAUGACAUCUUUCUUAUGCACAGGACCAAUGCCUAUACCACUCACAGGUAUAUUGACCACCGGAGUCUUCAAAAACUCCAGUAGUGCUUCUAAUGAACCAAGGGUAGAGGCCUGUACAUAAACUCCCUCACCACUUUUAUCAAUUCUGUUCAUCACUGUCCUCAUAUCCUCCAUAGCUGCUUCCUUAAUAUCUUCUAAAUCAUCAUCAGGACCAACAACAUAUAGCCCAGUGCCAGCAAUAGCAUGCUCAAGACCCUGAAAAGAAAAGAUCAGAAACUAAAACUACCUCUGAAUGGGAAACAAAAAUAUUAUACAACAGGACAGAGAUCUCUUAUGGCAGGGAGCUAACUGUGAAAGGUGAAUCAAGCUUUGUGACACCAGAGGCUACUAGAGAGUGGCCUCCUGAGCUAGUGCCAUUUACCACAAAAAAUUUAGACUUCUUCAAGACAAGUUCGUAGUACACCAGUGCUACUUACCAAGCAACAGAUGAAUUUACAGAGUUGGCUCAUGACAGCCAUGUCAUCAUUUCCAAAGCUAAAAACUAUAGAACCAGGAUUGCAGAAGUCCAACUAAAAUUGAUAUAUGUAGAAUACAUAUGGUGUCCACUGUAGUGGCAAAUUUGUGAACAUGUUGCUCCUUAGCGAUAAAGAAUACAGGUUAACGUCUUACACCAAAUAAAUAAAAAACGCACCUGUGCAGUGAUCUUUAUCCCCUGGGCAGCCUUGAUUUUUUUAUGAUGCACAUAAGUUCCCUGAAUCAGGCAAUCACCAAAUUGUCAGUUUAAGAAUUCAACUGUACAAGCAUAAAAAACCUAAUAUGGGAGAAAAAUGUCUUCAAAAGUGACUAGCUUUCCACUGAAGUAUGCAUGACAAAGAAAAGAGCAAAGAAACAUUAACCCCAAAGUGCCAAAGACAGCUACAGAUUGUCAAGCUCCAAAACCUAAAAAUGCUCACAAAAUUUAUGUGCUUAUUUUGUACUGAUGCAACAGUACAAGUAAAAGCGAAACUUCUUUCACAAAGAAAAAGGUGAGUACAUCAUUUAAGUAAUAAUUGGAUGGAGGAUUUGCUCCAACUAAGAGAUGAUUGCAAAGAAGCACAGAUUAAACGUUUUAACGGACUAGCAGUUCGAAAAAAGUUGGUUUAUCGGCUUUAAGCCAUUAGUUUAAUGGUCUCCAGCAGAUGACUAAAUGACAUACUCAAUCCUUCACUACGUCACAAAAGUAAUGAUAGCUAAUAAAGAAAAACACACUAAAAAAGGAAAUCAUAGUCCCCAAGUUCUGACUGCAUGAGAGAUGGGCAUGAUUGCAGCAGCUAUUCUGCAACUACAAAAGGUACGGUCCCUUGGAAAAGCAAACACAAACAUUUUGUCAUUGAAGAGAUUGAACAAUGUUAUGACCUUAGAUGGCUAAUCCCAUGAAAAUGUAGGAAAAAUUCCCACAGCUUCUUACUUCUCUUCCUCUUGCUCUCUUACACCAACCUCAACUCCUACUACACUCUAAAUCCUCAGAUUAUCAGAGCCAAAAUUUAUAUACUACUAAUUUUCUAAAGAUUCUUCCAACAGGUUCUAAAUCAAAUCAUAUCCACUAUCACUUCCAGGUGCUGCAUCAACCACUACUUAAUUCCAUAACGACUUUACUAAGUUAGCUGCUAAGUCCGCAAAAAGAGCGUUCUUAUUUAUCUUAAGCUACAAAUCCUUUUCCUCAAGCUCAAACACGGAACCAACAAAUAUCGAUCAUUUUGUUAGAGCCAUCACUAAAUCCCCGGAAGGAAAUAUCUUCUUCUUGGCCAAAUAUUCUUCUAUACCUAAACCACAUGACUGAAAACCACAUCAUUUUUCAAGAAAAUCCAAACAGAAAGAUUAAUCUGCAUCGAUAUGAAGAAAUAAAACAAGAGUGCAGAACAAAUUCUAAAAGAAAAUUCAAGCAAUAUGCUAGAUGGUGCCAGGUAAAUGUCAAUGAAAAAUAUAAAAUAGAAGUCCUGUUUAGUAACUCUUCAGAGAUAUUCGAACAUGAUAACACAACCUAUUUUCAUCAUUCACGUGAAAAAUACUUAUUUGACACAAGAAAAAUUCCUGAUCCUAUCUCAUCCUGAUUUUGGGAAGUCCCAACAAGCUUAAAAUAUAUGAAUUGCUCCCUCUUGGGGACAGGAAAAGCAAAAUGUGGAAUCAUAUUAGGUACAAGAAGAUUAUGAUAAAUAAGCCCAGAAAUACUUCUAUGGGAACUCAGUAGUUAAGUCAUUUGACUUCAGGAACAGCCUCCAAAUCUACAUAUUCCAUAACACGUAAGCUAUACUAGUAAAUAUUUGUAAAAUCACUAUUCGUGUUCCCAAUUUUUUAUGGUCCAGACAACAAGCAUUCUACCAACUUCAGCACUUUUUGGUCUUCUGUUCACGUUUUUGCUCCACCCAUCCACAAACUAUGAACUUUUCCUAGGAUAAAUCCAACAUAUCUCCCAACACCACCCAUCGCCUCAUGUUAUUAAGUCAUCUGACUUCAGAACAGCCUCCAAAGUUACAUAUUUUGUGACCCACACGGAAUACUAGUAACAUAUUUGUAAGAUUACUCUUCAUGUUCCAAAACUUUUUAUGAUUCAAACGACAAGCAUAGUGCCUUUAGAUCUUUGGUCCACGUUUAUGCAACCCAUCCGCAAACUAUGAACUUUUCCUAGAACAAAUAGACAUAUCUCCCAACGAAUAGUGAAAUGGGCCAGAGUCCAAAAACAGAAAAAGAUCCUCACAAAAAAAAGGGGUUUUUUUUUUACCUUCACUCGGAGUUCUUUCAUUGGAUGGGGCGUCAAUAGUGCUCGAAUACUGGUGACAAUUGGACCCUAAAAAUGACAACAAGUGUAAGAGCAUUACAGUUAUUUAAGAUCCAAAAGUACCAGGUACCAAUUGAAAGAUUACCUGCAUGCCACAAACAACUAUUUGAUCUCCUUCAUGGAGUACACCAUUAACUAAGACCACAUCAAUUGUUGUCCCAUGUCCUUCAACAACCUUAACCUCCAAAACGGUACACUGCCAACAUGAAAGUCGUAAUUCAGUCAAAAGCAUAUGCUGUUUACAAAUCACAUAAACCAUAUCUUUUCUGCUUUGAACACCAACAAUUAAUUUUUAUUUCACAAGAUCAAAACUUUGAAAGUUUUUACACGGAGGACAUCCCUGAAUACAGCAGGUGUACUAUAGCAACUUCUGAAGGGAUACUAAAGAAAGAAAAUACUAACAAAACGAUACCUGCACUUCAUCCUGAUAAGUUAAUUUCUCAACCAUUGUCUUUUGAGUCCAUUGAACAAGUAAUAAAAGCAAGUCUGGGAUCCCUUCACCACUGUAACAUCAAUAUAACCCAAACCGCACUUAAAGAUUGUACGUGAAAUACACAAAAAAUUCAUAAAUUAAAACAACUUGAACACCAGGGCUGCAACAUCAGUGAAUAACAAACAAAACCUGAUCGCACUAGUAGGCACAAUGCUGAAAGUCUCCCCCAUUUCUUUGUUCUUAUAGUACAAUUCAGUGUUUAUUCCUUGCUCCUUGAACUGGGUAAUAACCUGUAGUGCGUGAAGUAGAAAAUCAUGAAUUAUUAAAGCAAGAAACUCAACAUGUUGAAAAGGAAAUCGAUAUAUUCUAAAACCUGAGUGAGCCUCAUGUUGAAUUCAACUUGAAUAUCUUUUGACUGUUGCUUCAUGGCCUUCAUGAUAGGUGCAUUUCUGCAUGUUUUCCAUCCAUAGAGUCUGUCAACCUUAUUCAGGGCAACAAUAAAUUCUGUAUUCCUCAUCUUCAAAAGAUUGAGUGAUUCGAUAGUUUGUGGCUCCAACCCAUGCAUAAUAUCCACAACGAGAAUAGCAAUAUCACAUAAACCUGAGCCUCGAGAACGCAAGUUGGUGAACGAUUCAUGUCCUGGAGUGUCAAUAACCAAUAAACCUGGGACACUCAGCUUUGCAUCAGCUUUUAGUUCCUUGGUUCUCUCACGUAUAUUCCCUGCUGGGAAAUAUGUUGCACCUAUUUGUUGAGUAAUACCUCCAGCUUCACCUUCCUGAACAUUGGUACCCCGAAUGCAGUCAAGUAACUUAGUUUUGCCAGUAUCAACAUGGCCCAUAAUGCAGCAAAUAGGCGAGCGGAGAUUAUUUUCACCCCGAGUGGGGGGAGCAACUGGUUCUGCAGCAUCCGUUUUAGUAGGAGCUUCUCGUUGCUUCUGUUUUUCGACAACCCCAACCUCAGGAUUCACAGAUUUUAGUGGUGCAGUUGCAGUCUUUGACGCCAAAGGGCGAGACCCUGCAUCAUUUGUAGCAGGCCUUGUGCUCUUUAACUCCUUUUUACCCACAUUUUCAGGCUCGGAAUCAACCUCUUCAUCAGCAAAAGCACUUUUACCAGGCAGUUUAAGAUCAGCAUCAUCCCAACUUUUGGCAUCCCAUUCUUCAUCAUCAUCUUCUUCUUCUACUUCAACCUCAUUCUCCUCCUCAACUUCAACUUCUUGGGGUUUCUCUACUUCCAAAACUUGCACUUCCUCAAACUUUUCUGUUUCCACAGAGUCGACCUCAGAUCCAAUUUCUGAUUCUUUUAUUUCUUGGCUUUCAGCAGCCUCUGCAACAGCCGCACCAUUUGCUUGAGAAGCUGGCUUUGACUUUUUUGUCUGGUACUUGGGCCGUUUCGUAGGCACCCCAACAGCAUCCCCUGUAGGUAAUGGCAAGCCCCCAGCAUUGGCUAGUAUCUGUUUCCUCAUCGCCUCCAAUCUACGAGCUUCUUCCUUCUGUUUACCAGUUAAUAGCUUCCCUUCUUGCUUUUUCUUCAUGAGUUUCUCUUUUUCCCUCUCCUUCUUCAAGCGUUUCUUUUCUUCUGCUAGCCUCUCAAGUUCUUCCUGCCUACGACGCUCCUCUUCUUCUUUUCUUAACUUCUCCUCUUCUUCCCUUUUUUUCCUUUCUUCAGCUUCUUUAAGUCUUGCAAGUCUCUCUUGCAUCUCUCUCACAUGCUUUGGAACUUUCUUGUCCGAAGCUUUACCCUUGGUUUCAUUUUUACUAUCUUCUUGUUUGUCUUCUGUCACAGGUGCAGCUGCAGCUGCUUUUUUCUCGUUCUCCUUUUCCUUCUUCUUCUUCUUCUUCUUUGCUGCUGCAGACUCUGCAGGCCCUCCUUCUUCAGCUUCUUUUUCACCUGCACCAGCAUCAAAAGAGACAUUCUUGAAUAUUUCAUAUUAAGACUGAGACAUGCAUACUCCCCCUACGUAUUUAAUACAGUGGAUCUAGUGCAAUUAUUAAUCCAUUUCUAGGAAUAAAACCAAUUAUUUCCUCAAAAAAGUUAACUUAUUUAGGCACAAUUAUUGUUUUCAUAUCCUCCAGUCAGUCACUUCCCUCAUUGUUAGCCGAAGAACCUUGUCCUGACACAUUUUUCCAACCACCAGGCCUCAGGGAGAACUGAAAAAGUCUUGCCUUCAAAGAUCUCACAUCCUCUACUUCAGCACCCUCAUCACUCCCAUGCAAUACACACAGUGCACAUACAAAUCUCACAAAGUUUGCACCAGUACAUUUCUUUUCACAACUUACAACCUAGACCACCUCACGUAGUAAGCACCCUUCACGUUUUUAACCAAAACAAAUCCAUACGAACAGUCACCAUUUUCAAGAAACAGUAUUCUCAACUCUCAGUUUCACCCUCUAUGCAGAAAUAGUAGAAGCCAGCAGUUACAACCAGAACCAUGUAGAAUGCUACAGAUAUCAGGUAGAACGCAUGUAUAACGUUUGGAUAUCAAACCAACUUUAACCAAACCAGAAAAAAAAUUCUUAAGCAAUAACAUUAAAGAAAUAAACAAACACCACACCAACUUAUUACUUUACUUCCACUUCAGAUACUCCAAAUUUACCCCUAAUAUGUUAAACCCAAGAUAGUCUGACUGAAGCUAGACUCUCAGAUAUGUGCAUUUACAUUGUCAAUUACCAGUAUCUCUUUGCUGUUAAAAUUUUCAAGAAAUAUCAGAAUUUACUAGUAAUGAAGAGCUAAACAAAACCAUGUAAUCCUGUAACUUGGCAGUAUGAUCUUCAAGAAUCUUAAUCUACUAAAAAACUAUCCAUCUCGGAUUCUUACCCUAAUUUACGCUUCUGGUUAAUGAAUUUAAAAUUGAAAAUCCCAUCUUUACUAUACCUAACUUUAGCAUAAGACAUCAUUAAGAUCAUGAAUAAGCAAGAGAUACAUUAAUCAUUUAGCAAUAUGCAAAUAAAUUAAAUGAGUGAAUUUAAAAGAUCAGGAAUUUAAAAAGAAAGGCGAUUUCGUUUCGUAGGAAACAAAAAAUGGGAUGAUUUCAAAGGUGUGGUUUGCAGGAAAAAGCUGGAGAUCAGACUGAACUUUGAAUAAAAAAUUUUCUAUACAUUAAGAACAUGAACGAAAACUAAAAUAGAAUGCAGGCUAGCUCAGUGAUAGCAAAAGAUGAUUAUACAAGUCUCAACUCAAUUUUUGACAUACACAAUUUAGACAAUUGAGGCUUAAAAGCCUGUAGCUAUAUCAAACUGUAAGCUUAUAUUUAAUACCCACUGAGAAUAUUUAGAAUUAUCAUGACCUCAAAAUAAUUGCAUAGCUAUUUAGAUGACUUUCCUUCAAUGCAACUCAACUGGAACCUUAAGUCACAUAGUAUACAUGGAAAGAACUUAAAAAGAAAAGAUUAAAAGUUUGUGAUUAACAAAAUAUGUCAAACUUAAGAUUAUUACAAGGGAACCAUAAAAUUGAAAAAAUGUACACAUAGAUAACUAUUUUGUCUAUGAUAAAGAUAUUGAAACUGACACACACAUGCAAUCAAUCAAUUGAAUGAAUGUGGAGUUGAACAUUCUUUUCAUAUUACAAAUUGACAAGUUCACAAUCAGCAAAUACACAUAUCCUAGUUAGAGUGCAAAGUGAAAAAGUGAAAAGUUAGACAAGUAAGGGAGUAGGAAAAGAAGAGGCAAUUACGGUGGCAAAAUGAAAGCUAAUUGCCCCUGAUAAAAUUCCAUAAGUUUUAAUCCUCUCUUUAUAUCUAUCCUUAUUUUGGUUUUCUUAAAGUACUCAGGAAGUUUAUUCAUACAUAAGAAAACAAUAAAAACUAUACUAUUUACAAGUAUGAUGAUAAGGUAACUGACCUGCACCAUCUUGCUCAAGCUGAGAUUGAACUUUCUCCUCAGCAGUUGGCUCCAGAAGACCAGGUGUAGGAGUGGGAGAAGGUUUUGAUACAGGAGGCGCUUCUCCAAGUUCAGCAAGAAUCUUGUCCAAAUCCUCCUCUUCUUGGGCAGUUCUUCCACUCUUCUUUUUCUUCUUCUUAUUUUUUAAAGUCUCUGCAACAUCUUCAGCUAUCUGCUUUGAACUAGCACUAACGCUAGGCUGAUCAGCCUCAGCUACAACCAAGGACUCAUCCCCAGUUCCAGCAUCAAGUGCACUAAUUGCGCCACUACCCUUCUUUUUAGAUGACUUCUUCUUACCAGAAAACAUAGCAACUGAUGUGUCUAAUUCAUCCAGAGCACUUGUACCAUCUCCUGCUGCUUCAGCUCCUGACUUGGACAUAGAAACUUCUUCAAUGGUAUCUUCAUCAAGAACUGCAGCAUCAAAUGAAUUAGCACUGCUUUUUUUUGAAGACUUGGAAGACUUCUUUUUCUUUCCUGUGAAGGUAAUAGAAGCAAUAUCCUCAUCUUCCUCUUUACUCUCUUCUUUGUUUUCCCCAUCCUCAAGCCCAUUAAAACUAGAUGUCGAAAACAAACUAUCACCACCCUUCUUACCUGUUUUCGAUGGCUUCUUCUUCCCAGAGAACUCAAUCAAAGGCUCCCCAUUAUCAGACUGUUGCCCAGAAACUAAAUCAUCAACACCUCC